GACCGCAGAAGUGAUGUGAUGUGACUUCAGAGACUAGGUCAUCACAGGCGAUACAGCUUCCACCUGGUUUUCUGGAGAUGCUCUUGCUUGGAUGUCAGCUGCCAUGCUGUGAGGAAGCCCAAGCCGCCCAGGGAGAGGUUCUCGUGGAGAAAAACAAGAGCCCAGAACCAACUUGGCAGCCACGUGGACUGCCAUGAUGGUGUGUGACUUCCACGGUGAGGUCAUAAAAGACAUUGCAACUUCCUCCUUGCUCUCUCUUGGAACACUUGCUCUUGGGGAAGCCAGCCACCAUGUUACGAGGAUGCUCAAGCAGCCUGUGGAGCAGCUCACGUGGGUGAGGAAUCAAGGCCUCUAGCCAACAGCCACAAGGGAGCCUCCUCAGCAGUGGAGCCUCCAGCCCCAGUCCAGCCAUCAGAUGAGACUGCAGCCCCGGCUGACAUCUUGGAUGUAACAUCAUGAUCGACCCUGAGCCAGAACCACCCAGAUAAGC
rnacentral:lncRNA from 1 species